GUUGUAUGGUUAAGUGACUAAGCGUACACGGUGGAUGCCUUGGCAGUCAGAGGCGAUGAAGGACGUAUUAACUUGCGAUAAGCCCAGAUUAGGUAGUAAAAACCAUUUGAGUCUGGGAUUUCCGAAUGGGGAAACCCAAUACCAUAAGGUAUUACUGUUGAGUGAAUACAUAGCUCAACAGGGCGAACCGGGGGAACUGAAACAUCUAAGUACCCCGAGGAAAAGAAAUCAACCGAGAUUCCGAAAGUAGCGGCGAGCGAAAUUGGACUAGCCCUUAAGCUUUACACGCGUUAGACGAAC
rnacentral:rRNA from 1 species